UCCCUGGUGGCUCAGAUGGUAAAGCAUCUGUCUACAAUGCAGUAGACCCGGGUUCUACCCCUGGGUCGGGAA
rfam:Ovis aries breed Texel chromosome 12, whole genome shotgun sequence.